UACGGGAGGCAGCAGUGGGGAAUAUUGCACAAUGGGCGCAAGCCUGAUGCAGCCAUGCCGCGUGUAUGAAGAAGGCCUUCGGGUUGUAAAGUACUUUCAGCGGGGAGGAAGGCGAUGCGGUUAAUAACCGCGUCGAUUGACGUUACCCGCAGAAGAAGCACCGGCUAACUCCGUGCCAGCAGCCGCGGUAAUACGGAGGGUGCAAGCGUUAAUCGGAAUUACUGGGCGUAAAGCGCACGCAGGCGGUCUGUUAAGUCAGAUGUGAAAUCCCCGGGCUUAACCUGGGAACUGCAUUUUGAAACUGGCAGGCUUGAGUCUUGUAGAGGGGGUAGAAUUCCAGGUGUAGCGGUGAAAUGCGUAGAGAUCUGGAGGAAUACCGGUGGCGAAGGCGGCCCCUGGACAAAGCUGACGCUCAGGUGCGAAAGCGUGGGGAGCAAACAGGAUUAGGAUACC
rnacentral:rRNA from 1 species